rfam:Aedes aegypti strain Liverpool supercont1.337 genomic scaffold, whole genome shotgun sequence.
UGCCCAACAACUCCUAUCCCUACCUCCUCGCGGUACUGGCCGGGGUACGAGUAACCUUAGGGAAGAUCGGGUAACCAACCCCCGGUGGGAACUUUGGUCGUAUGCUGACAGGGAAGG